rnacentral:rRNA from 1 species
AUUGAACGCUGGCGGCAGGCCUAACACAUGCAAGUCGAGCGGAGCGGCGGACGGGUGAGUAAUGCUUAGGAAUCUGCCUGGUAGUGGGGGUUAACGUCAGGAAACGGGCGCUAAUACAGCAUCCUAUCAGAUGAGCCUAGGUCGGAGGAGCAAGGUGUGGGGGAAAAGGCCUACCAAGGCGACGAUCAUUAACUGGUGUGAGCGGAUGAUCAGUCAAUCUGGAACUGAAGCACGUGCCAGACUCCUACGCGAGGCAGCCGUGGGGAAUAUUCGACAAGGGGAGAAAGCCUGAUACAGCCAUGACGCAUGUGUGAAGAAGGUCUUCGUAUUGUAAAGCACUUUAAUUUGGGAGGCGUUACCAACAGAAUAAGCACCGGCUAACGUCGUGCCAGCAGCCGCGGUAAUUC